CUUCUAUCUAUUGGUUUUGUUAAAUAAGUGAACUUUUUUUCUUUUUCUUUUUAAAGCAAAAUGUGUCAAGGAAGAUUAUAUAAUUCCGAGCAACUUCUGUGUAAGUUCCAUCAAUAACCACUAAACGCGUGUUCCUCGUGGCUGUCAUACUGUCCCACAGAAUUAACGCGACCUCCGUUUCCUACAAAUGAUUGAUUAUGAAAUCUGGAUGCAAAAUUAGACUUGUGAUUGUUUGCAGCUGCAGGCCAACCAAUAGAUGUUGAUGGAUUAUUAUACCACCCACGUUGGGAAUAAUUAUUACCCCUAUGUUGCAUCUGAGUUGUAUCUUGAUUGGAAAUUUGUCCCACAUUUUGCCUUUCGUCACUAUACAAAUAAGUACUCCUGCUUCUUUUAUCCGUAAUACCGUGUGACUCAAAACCGUUGUUCCGGACACCUGAAUAACGGUGACCACGUUGAUAAGAUCUCUCACAUCUUUGAAAUUGUGAAUUAUUUUGCCGUUUAUCUCUCAAAUCAAAGGUAUUCACUAGCUGACCAUUAUCAUAAUCGAGGGCUUGAUUUAGAUAUUGCUUAUUCUUUUGCGGUUCACCCGAAAAUUGUUCUUCGGUUUGAUUAGAUCUUUCAUAUCUUUGCAGUUUUUGUCGUCCAUCUCUAACAUUAUAGUUAUAAUGAUUUUCUAGUUGACCGUUAUUUAUUUCGAUGGGUUGUUGCCGAUCUUGGUUAUAAGUUUGUCGUUCACCUGAGUAUCUCUCAAAUCUGUGUGAGUAAUUAUGACGUUCAUUUCUAAAAUCAAAGCUAUUGCCUAAUUGACUGUUAACCUUAUCCAGUGGUUGUUGUCGAUCUUCAUAAUUGUUUUGCCGUUCUACUGGAUAUUGCUCAUUAGUUUGAUGAGAUCUUUCAUUUUUUUGCAAAUGUGAGAUAUUUACUCGACUAUAUCUGACAUUAUAAUUAUUGCCUAAUUGACUGUUAUCGUUAUCGAGUGGUUGUUUGUGAUCCUGAUAAAAAUGUUGUCGUUCUACCGGAUAUUCAUCAUCAUUUUGGUAAGAUCUUUCAUCUUUUUGCAAUUGUGAGAAAUUUGACCGUUCAUCUAUGACAUUAAAGUUGUUGAUGAGUUGAGCAUUAUCGUAAUUGAGUGAUUGUUGUCGAUUUUCCUGAUUAUUACAAUGUUGAUCAAUUUUUGAUUUCGAUUGUUGACGUUUUGUAGGAUCGUGCAAAGUGUGUUGAUGUUUCUGUAGGCGUUGCUCUUGGUUUCUCUCACCAAUGCGAUCCGACGAAAUCGUUGAUAUAUCAGGUGACGUAUUUUUAUGGUAUGAUUUCUUUGUUUUUUUCACUUUUUUUGGUUCAUGUUGUGUUCUACGUAGCCGAUAAUACAGGAACAAAAAUGAAGGUUGAAGAAUGAAUCCCAAAAUUACAACUACAAAUAUGUAAGGUGCAUACCAUUCGAGUUUUGAGCAUGUUACUCUUCCCUUCAAUUCAAGUAAUGCCUGAUCAUCACUAUACCACAAAUACAGUAACAAUGCAUUUUCUGCAUAAUAUACUAUAUAAUACCAUGCAAAACAUUUCCCCCCACAUUGAUCUUGCUUGUGGCAUUUAUAAACAUCUGAUACACAGAAGCAAAAUAUAUUUCCUAUCAUUCCCAAAAAUAAAUCCGGUUCCUCUAAUACUCGAAAUUUUUUGUCAUCAUUCCAUCUUUCACAUGCGCCGUAAACUACUCCAAC
rnacentral:lncRNA from 1 species